GUCGGGAUAGCUCAGCUGGUAGAGCAGAGGACUGAAAUUCCUC
rnacentral:tRNA from 1 species